UACGUAGGUGGCAAGCGUUGUCCGGAAUUAUUGAGCGUAAAGCGCGCGCAGGCGGUCCCUUAAGUCUGAUGUGAAAGCCCACGGCUCAACCGUGGAGGGUCAUUGGAAACUGGGGGACUUGAGUACAGAAGAGGAAAGCGGAAUUCCACGUGUAGCGGUGAAAUGCGUAGAGAUGUGGAGGAACACCAGUGGCGAAGGCGGCUUUCUGGUCUGUAACUGACGCUGAGGCGCGAAAGCGUGGGGAGCAAACAGG
rnacentral:rRNA from 1 species